UACAGAGGGGGCAAGCGUUGUUCGGAAUUACUGGGCGUAAAGGGCGCGUAGGCGGCCGCCUAAGUCAGACGUGAAAUCCCUCGGCUCAACCGGGGAACUGCGUCUGAUACUGGAAGGCUUGAGGAUGGGGAGAGGGAUGUAGAAUUCCAGGUGUAGCGGUGAAAUGCGUAGAUAUCUGGAGGAAUACCGGUGGCGAAGGCGGCAUCCUGGACCAUUACUGACGCUGAGGCGACGAAAGCUAGGGGGAGCAAACGGG
rnacentral:rRNA from 1 species